ACUUUCAACAAUGGAUCUCUUGGCUCUCGCAUCGAUGAAGAACGUAGCGAAGUGCGAUAAGUAAUGUGAAUUGCAGAAUUCCGUGAAUCAUCGAAUCUUUGAGCGCAAAUUGCACUCUCUGGUAACCCGGGGGGUAUGCCUGUUUGAGGGUCAGU
rnacentral:rRNA from 1 species